ensembl:lncRNA
CCACUUAUAAUGAUGAUCUGGAAACAAAGUCAGUGAACUGAAUAGCAAAAUAAGAUGAGGCUUAAAGACCUCUCCUCCUAGGUCUGAGCAAAUGUAUUCCAUUAACAUGUAAUGAUUGAGAAAGAACGGAACAGGCUCCAUUCUAGGUGCUGAAAUACAGCAUCUGAAGUCCCUGUUGUCAUGAGGCUUGAUUUCUGGAAACAUGUAUACAAGGAGAAGUGGUCAGGAAGGAGGAGAGGUGUUGUAGCUGCAAGGCCUGGGACAAACCAAAGGCAUGCUGCUGCUGCUGCUGCUGCAGCUAAGUCGCUUCAGUCGUGUCCGUCUCUGUGCGACCCCAUAGACGGCAGCCCACCAGGCACAGGGAAGUAGAAGACACGAGCUCGGCCUUCACAAGCAGCAAUCAGGGAUUAGCACGCAAAAGGGAUGCUCAAAAAAAUUUAAGUACCUAAAUCCAGGUCAUUCAGGAACUGGAAAACUUGGAAUUCAAGCUCAGCCCUGACUACAAACAUGACUACUUGAAGAAGUCGUUAUGUUCACAUCAGCUCUGCAAGCUGAAGGAUUGAUGCUGAAGCUGAAGCUCCAAUACUUCGGCCACCUGAUGCAGAGCUCACCUGACCCAAAGACUCAUUGGAAAAGACCCUGAUGCGCAAAAGACCCUGAUGCGCAAAAGACCCUGAUGCGCAAAAGACCCUGAUGCUGGAAAAGACUGAAGGCAGGAGGAGAAGGGGACGACAGAGGGUGAGAUGGUUG